AGUGAACGCUGGCGGUAGGCCUAACACAUGCAAGUCGAACGGCAGCACAGUAAGAGCUUGCUCUUACGGGUGGCGAGUGGCGGACGGGUGAGGAAUACAUCGGAAUCUACUUUUUCGUGGGGGAUAACGUAGGGAAACUUACGCUAAUACCGCAUACGACCUACGGGUGAAAGCAGGGGAUCUUCGGACCUUGCGCGAUUGAAUGAGCCGAUGUCGGAUUAGCUAGUUGGCGGGGUAAAGGCCCACCAAGGCGACGAUCCGUAGCUGGUCUGAGAGGAUGAUCAGCGACACUGGUACUGAGGCACAGGCCAGGCAGCCACGGGCGUCAGAUGGCGGGAAGAGGGGACACGGGGCGAGCGCCUGAUGCCGCCAUACCGCGAGGGGGAAGAACGUCUGCGGGUUGCAAAGCUCUUGUGUGAGGAAAACAAAGCAGCCGAUCAACACCCCGAGGGACAGAAGGCACCAAACGAAUAAGCCCCGGCUACCGGCGGACCCGCAGCCGGGGCAAUAAUCGGAAGCGCACCCUUCCGAAC
rnacentral:rRNA from 1 species